UGAGGGGGUCCAGGGGGCAGUUUCAUAGAUUCAUAGACUGCAGAGUGGAAAGGGACCAAAUGGAUCAUCGUGUCCGACCCCCUGCCCCUGGCAGGAAAGAGGACCGAGGUCAGAUGUCCCCAGCCAGGUGACUAUCCAGCCUCCUCUUGAAGACCUCCAAGCUAGGCCAGCUCUGACCUUUGACCUCCACGGAGGCUGGGGAGAACAAGGGUGUACAUGCCAGCUGCGCCCUUUGACCCCAUGGACUGGGAAGCUGCAGGGGGCGGAGCCUCCAUACAAACGAGGAGGACUUGUACCUACUGGAUGAGGGGGCAGGGACUUUCCUUGGGCAAUCCCCAGUGGGGAGGCAGCACCCAUGGGUGCCCCACCCUCCAUCGCCUGCUAGCAGAAGGGAAGCCGUGGCUAUAAACCCCACAGCCCCAGGGCAGGCUCAGGAUCAGGCCCGGGAUCGGGGCUGUCCCCCCAGCCAUGGCCUCCCAGCUCAGCUUCCGCCGUGCCUGCUCUCUGCGUGGCCCCCCCCGCCCCGCAACGUAUGGGAGACUGGAAGACCCUGACGACGGGGAGAUGCUGCUUGAGGGAGCCCAGAGCCGGCUGGCUCAGUGCAAGAAGCAGGUGAGGCGGUCCCUGCGCCGCGGCUGGGAGAGCCUGGUGGCCAACCUUCACAGCGUGACACUGCGCCCACCCGCCGAGCCCUGCUGAGGGACCCAGGAGGCCGGGACAGCCCUGGCCCCACCCUGCCCUGCCCGGGUGGAGGAGACAGACCGGACCCCCCCGCCCGUCCUGCCGAGCGCCCUGCAACCACCUGCCCAUCCCCGGCAGCCUGCCCCAGUCAGCGCCCAGAGCUCGACCCCCACUUCGGCAUGGCGCGUCUGUCCGUCCAUCUGCUGUCCGCCCCAUCCUAGAAGCACACAGAUCUUCCCACCCCAUGGGCACAGUGUGUCCAUCCUGCCGUCCCCUCCUCUGUCCUUGCUGCGCCCAGCCAGCCCUCCCUCCUGCACCGACCUGCCUCCUUCACCCACUCGCUCCCUCGUCCAUCUCUCGUUGCUGCGUCCGUCCGUCCGUCUGUCUGCACCCUCUGUGUCGCUCCCUCCGUCCCCCCUCGGGCCAUGCACUCUUCCUCCCAGCUUUUCCCCCUUGUAUCCAUCCGUCCAUCCGCUGGUUCAGCCCUCGUGUCCCUGCCCCAUCCAUCCAUGUCUAACUGCAUCCCUCCAUCCAUCCCCUACCGCACCCAUCCCUCCAUCUUCCCACCCAGACCUCCAUCCCCCCCACUGCCCACCCCAACUCUUCCCAUGAUGCUCUGCUCCCUGUAGGGGCACUGUCUGGGCCCCAUGACCUCCCAGGCCCACGGCCCCACUGGGGGAAGUGAGGGCCCAGCCGUGGGUGCCCUGCAGGGCAUGGGGGCAUGACGGCUGUGGGGCGGUAAAUAAACGCCUGAGACCCCCCA